UACAGAGGUCCCAAGCGUUGUUCGGAUUCAUUGGGCGUAAAGGGUGCGUAGGCGGCGCGGUAAGUCGGGUGUGAAAUCUCGGAGCUUAACUCCGAAACUGCAUUCGAUACUGCCGUGCUUGAGGACUGGAGAGGAGACUGGAAUUUACGGUGUAGCGGUGAAAUGCGUAGAUAUCGUAAGGAAGACCAGUGGCGGAGGCGGGUCUCUGGACAGUUCCUGACGUGAGGCACGAAGGCCAGGGGAGCAAACGGG
rnacentral:rRNA from 1 species